GUUCCGCGGUUCCGUCCGGACGCGACGGAUAACGAUCAAAUUAAGACGCUCGCGCGUGUCCAUUUUAAGACAUUCGCAAAUUCACAUUUCACGUUUGAAUCGGUUGCUUGCAAUGAUCGUUCGUCGACGCGAUUGCGACGUCACCGACGCUGCCAGCGGCGAGCGUGCUGAGGAGCGGUUUGCUGCCAUCGGGGCGGCCAUGGACAAGGCGACGGCCCAUGGAUGUGGGGUGAUUUUC
rnacentral:misc_RNA from 1 species